rnacentral:rRNA from 1 species
GGUUCAGAACGAACGCUGGCGGCGUGCUUAACACAUGCAAGUCGAACGCGAAAGGGGACUUCGGUCCUGAGUAAAGUGGCGCACGGGUGAGUAACGCGUAGAUAACCUGUCUUCAUGUCUGGAAUAAUACGCCGAAAGGGGUACUAAUACCGGAUAUUCUUGCUUUUCAUAAGUUAUGCAAGCAAAGGUGGCCUCUGCAUAUGCUACUGCAUGAAGAGGGGUCUGCGUACCAUUAGCUAGUAGGUGGGGUAAUGGCCUACCUAGGCGACGAUGGUUAGCGGGUCUGAGAGGAUGAUCCGCCACACUGGCACUGGAACACGGGCCAGACUCCUACGGGAGGCAGCAGUGAGGAAUAUUGCGCAAUGGGGGAAACCCUGACGCAGCGACGCCGCGUGAGUGAGGAAGGCCUUCGGGUCGUAAAGCUCUGUCAAGAGGAAAGAAGUGUACAAUGGCUAAUACCUGUUGUAUUUGACGGUACCUCUAAAGGAAGCACCGGCUAACUCCGUGCCAGCCGCCGC